UACGGGGGGGGCAAGCGGUUGUUCGGAAUUACUGGGCGUAAAGGGCGCGUAGGCGGCCUGCUAAGUCGGACGUGAAAUCCCUCGGCUCAACCGGGGAACUGCGUCCGAUACUGGUGGGCUCGAAUCCGGGAGAGGGAUGUGGAAUUCCAGGUGUAGCGGUGAAAUGCGUAGAUAUCUGGAGGAAUACCGGUGGCGAAGGCGGCAUCCUGGACCGGCAUUGACGCUGAGGAGCGAAAGCCAGGGGAGCAAAGCGGGG
rnacentral:rRNA from 1 species